UCAGCACAUGCUUCAGUGCUCUGGGAGAGUUUAUAGUCCUGUGAGUUUAACACUUCAUGACUGAGAGCUGCUGCCCCACAAACUUCACCCACAGCAGACAUGACUUUGACCACCAUCUUCAUCUGGACUCUGAUCUUUUGGACUGAAGAAUCCAGAGGUCAGGCCGUCAUCACUCAGACUCCUGCAGUAAAAUCUGCUCCUCCAGGAGAAACAGUCACCAUCAGCUGUAAUGCUAAUGUUGCUGUUGAUAAUGACUGUAACAGCAGAUUUGCCUGUGUGUCCUGGUAUCAGCAGAAACCUGGAGAAGCUCCUAAACUCCUGAUAAAGUUAGCAAACCAGUUACACUCAGGUGUUCCAGCUCGUUUCAGUGGUAGUGGAUCCAAGACUGACUUCACUCUGACCAUCAGUGGAGUCCAGACUGAAGAUGCAGGAGAUUAUUACUGUCUGAUGGAUCAUUACAACACUUAUAAAACUUACCCAUUCACACAGUGA